GCGCGCCACUGUCGACGAAAGCUGGUCGGCAGUCUACCUUGGGGUAUACCCACGGUAGUAGUUUAUCGGUAGACGGUGCGCAAACUACGAACUCGAUGGUGACGCAAGACACGGACAAGCUUUUUAUCCAGGUUCGGCCGCCGAGUUGGCGUAAUACCUACGUCCUGCGUCUGGUUGUAUUGAUUUGUGUUGAGAGAAUAUGAUGUGAUGUGUCCUAGGGGGGUCCCUUGCCCCUCCUUAUAUAGUCUGGAGGGCAGGGUUACAGAUCUGGAAACUAAUCCUAGUCGGUUACAAUUGCCAUGGAUAAUUCGAUAUCAAUUCCUAUUCUAACCGACUAGAAUCCUGCUUGAUCUCCCCAUCUUGUUUCCUUGCGCGAAACUCCAGGUUGUCGGAUCAAGCCUUGAACUCGUCUCGUAAUAGGCCAAGCUUCCUGGCCGAAGUCUAACCGUAAGGGUAUAGGGGUUUAUACCCCCACAAUUUCUUGUAGUGGCGUACUGGUAAAGAGAGAAGUCGGACAGGAGAAAAGAGAAGCAUACUGGUGAGGAAGCUCUCUCCAUAGGGUAGAGGGGGAGGGUGACUUAGACCUGCGAAGGUGGUGGUAUGGUUGGGCCUUCGCUCUCUUCCAAGUCUUUUUUUAAUGAAAAAGUCUACUUUUUUUUUCUAACUUUCGUGAAAGUCCAUUUUUUCCCUCAACUCUAAAAUUGGGCAAACCACCUCCUUUAACUUUUCAAACCAUACAUUUAACCUCCUUGAAGUGGUUUUAAAGGUAAUUUUGCUACAGCAAAUGAUGUUUUUUUUCUACCGUGACAGUGGUUUUGUCUUUUUUUUAUUUUUUGGCUAAAUUUUUGAAAAAUCAUAAUAAAUUAUAGGAAAAUCAUAAAAUAAAAAAUCUAAUUUUGUUGGACUCUACAUGAGUAGAGCUACAUAGUGAACAUAUAAUAUGGUAUGCUUUAGUAUAAAGUUUUUUUUGUGUUUUCUUUUUAAUUUAUUCCAGCUAAAUCUUUAAAAAAUCAUAGUAAGUUACAGAAAAAUCAUAAAUUAGGAAAUCUAAUUUUGUUAGACUCAACAUAAGCAUAUGUACACAGUGAACAUAAGAUAUUGUAUACUUUAGUAACUUUUUGCUAUAGUUUUAGAUCCAUGCUUUUAUGUAAUUAAUUAAAAUAAUUUAUAGCUGCAGCUUCUAUUUUUUUUUUGUUAGACUUUUGUUGGACUAAAAAGCAUACAAUUUAUAUAUUAGUUGUGUAUAUCUUUGAAAGGAAAAAAGUGAAUAACACUGCAAAAAUAAAUUUGGUAGGAGAGAAAAAGAAAGAAAGAAGUGCAUUUGUACCUUGAACCCUAGUGCCGUAGCAGCAAAAUCUUGGGGGGGGGCACGGCCGGGGAGGCAACAGGCGCAGCAGUGGAGACCCGGCCGGAAGGGCAUGCAAUAUAUAGGCCGCCUAGGGCACGAACCAAGCAGUGAAGGACGGUGCAACAUGGGACGCAGUUUUUUUUUUUUUUGCCCUUAAGGCAUAUGCCCUCACUCUCCCACCCAUUGGAUUCGCUUUGAGAAGUGUGCAAACACACAUCUCAAUGUAGUUUCGCAUUG
rnacentral:lncRNA from 1 species